rnacentral:snoRNA from 1 species
GGUCUCCUGGUGCUUACCACAGGCUGUGCUCUUACAUUGAUUGUAUAGAAAGGGGAGGCAAAGUAAACCUACCCCAUAUACACCUGGUCUGUAUUAUGAAUGGGGAGAUAUGG